UACAGAGGGUGCGAGCGUUAAUCGGAAUUACUGGGUGUAAAGCGCGCGUAGACGGUUUGGUAAGUCAGAUGUGAAAUCCCCGGGCUCAACCUGGGAACUGCAUUUGAUACUGCCUGGCUAGAGUAUCGAAGAGGGAAGUGGAAUUUCCGGUGUAGCGGUGAAAUGCGUAGAUAUCGGAAGGAACACCAGUGGCGAAAGCGACUUCCUGGUCGAAUACUGACGUUCAUGUGCGAAAGCGUGGGGAGCAAACAGG
rnacentral:rRNA from 1 species